rnacentral:rRNA from 1 species
CAGCAGUGAGGAAUAUUGGUCAAUGGGAGAGAUCCUGAACCAGCCAAGCCGCGUGAGGGAAGACGGCCCUAUGGGUUGUAAACCUCUUUUGUCGGAGAACAAAACCCGGGACGUGUCCCGGACUGCGUGUAUCCGAAGAAAAAGCAUCGGCUAACUCCGUGCCAGCAGCCGCGGUAAUACGGAGGAUGCGAGCGUUAUCCGGAUUUAUUGGGUUUAAAGGGUGCGUAGGCGGUCCGUUAAGUCAGCGGUAAAAUUGCGGGGCUCAACCCCGUCGAGCCGUUGAAACUGGCAGACUUGAGUUGGCGAGAAGUACGCGGAAUGCGCGGUGUAGCGGUGAAAUGCAUAGAUAUCGCGCAGAACUCCGAUUGCGAAGGCAGCGUACCGGCGCCAGACUGACGCUGAGGCACGAAAGCGUGGGGAUCGAACAGGAUUAGA